rnacentral:rRNA from 1 species
GACGAACGCUGGCGGCGUACUUAACACAUGCAAGUCGAACGGAAAGGCCCUGCUUUUGUGGGGUGCUCGAGUGGCGAACGGGUGAGUAACACGUGAGUAACCUGCCCUUGACUUUGGGAUAACUUCAGGAAACUGGGGCUAAUACCGGAUAGGAGCUCCUGCUGCAUGGUGGGGGUUGGAAAGUUUCGGCGGUUGGGUAUGGACUCGCGGCUUAUCAGCUUGUUGGUGGGGUAGUGGCUUACCAAGGCUUUGACGGGUAGCCGGCCUGAGAGGGUGACCGGCCACAUUGGGACUGAGAUACGGCCCAGACUCCUACGGGAGGCAGCAGUGGGGAAUAUUGCACAAUGGGCGGAAGCCUGAUGCAGCAACGCCGCGUGCGGGAUGACGGCCUUCGGGUUGUAAACCGCUUUCGCCUGUGACGAAGCGUGAGUGACGGUAAUGGGUAAAGAAGCACCGGCUAACUACGUG